GACGAACGCUGGCGGCGUGCUUAACACAUGCAAGUCGAACGGAAAGGCCCUGCUUUUGUGGGGUGCUCGAGUGGCGAACGGGUGAGUAACACGUGAGUAACCUGCCCUUGACUUUGGGAUAACUUCAGGAAACUGGGGCUAAUACCGGAUAGGAGCUCCUGCUGCAUGGUGGGGGUUGGAAAGUUUCGGCGGUGGGGGGUGGACUCGCGGCUGAUCAGCUUGUUGGUGGGGUAGUGGCUUACCAAGGCUUUGACGGGUGGCCGGCCUGAGAGGGUGACCGGCCACCAUGGUACUGAGAUACGGCCCAGACUCCUACGGGAGGCAGCAGUGGGGAAUAUUGCACAAUGGGCGGAAGCCUGAUGCAGCAACGCCGCGUGCGGGAUGACGGCCUUCGGGUUGUAAACCGCUUUCGCCUGUGACGAAGCGUGAGUGACGGUAAUGGGUAAAGAAGCACCGGCUAACUACGUG
rnacentral:rRNA from 1 species